rnacentral:rRNA from 1 species
GGGGACAACCCGCCGAAAGGCGGGCUAAACCCGCGUACAUGCCACCGGGGCAUCCCGGAGGCAGGAAAGGCUUCGGCCGGACAGGGAUGGGCAUGCGGCGCAUUAGGCAGUAGGCGGGGUAACGGCCCACCUAACCGACGAUGCGUAGGGGUUCUGAGAGGAAGGUCCCCCACACUGGUACUGAGACACGGACCAGACUCCUACGGGAGGCAGCAGUGAGGAAUAUUGGUCAAUGGUCGGGAGACUGAACCAGCCAAGCCGCGUGAGGGAUGAAGGUACAGAGUAUCGUAAACCUCUUUUGUCAGGGAACAAAGGCGGGGACGUGUCCCCGGAUGAGUGUACCUGAAGAAAAAGCAUCGGCUAACUCCGUGCCAGCAGCCGCGGUAAUACGGAGGAUGCGAGCGUUAUCCGGAUUUAUUGGGUUUAAAGGGUGCGCAGGCGGUCUGUUAAGUCAGCGGUCAAAGCCCGGGGCUCAACCCCGGCCCGCCGUUGAAACUGGCAGUCUCGAGUUGGAGAGAAGUAUGCGGAAUGCGCGGUGUAGCGGUGAAAUGCGUAGAUAUCGCGCAGAACUCCGAUUGCGAAGGCAGCAUGCCGGCUCCACACUGACGCUGAGGCACGAAAGCGUGGGUAUCGAACAGGAUUAGAUACCCUGGUAGUCCACGCAGUAAACGAUGAA